GACGAACGCUGGCGGCGUGCUUAACACAUGCAAGUCGAACGGAAAGGCCCUGCUUUUGUGGGGUGCUCGAGUGCGAACGGGUGAGUAACACGUGAGUAACCUGCCCUUGACUUUGGGAUAACUUCAGGAAACUGGGGCUAAUACCGGAUAGGAGCUCCUGCUGCAUGGUGGGGGUUGGAAAGUUUCGGCGGUUGGGGAUGGACUCGCGGCUUAUCAGCUUGUUGGUGGGGUAGUGGCUUACCAAGGCUUUGACGGGUAGCCGGCCUGAGAGGGUGACCGGCCACAUUGGGACUGAGAUACGGCCCAGACUCCUAAGGGAGGCAGCAGUGGGGAAGAUUGCACAAUGGGCGGAAGCCUGAUGCAGCAACGCCGCGUGCGGGAUGACGGCCUUCGGGUUGUAAACCGCUUUCGCCUGUGACGAAGCGUGAGUGACGGUAAUGGGUAAAGAAGCACCGGCUAACUACGUG
rnacentral:rRNA from 1 species